rnacentral:lncRNA from 1 species
GGAUUAGGAUUUAGGAUUGGAUUAGGAUUUGGGUUAGGGUUUAGAGUUUGGUUAGGAUUUGAUUUAGGAUUUGGAUUAGGGUUUGGAUUAGGAUUUAAGAUUUGAUUAGGGUUUGAUUUAGGAUUUGGAUUAGAGUUUGGAUUAGGAUUUAGGAUUUUAUUAGGAUUUGAUUUAUGGUUUGAUUUAGGAUUUGAUUUAGGGUUUGAUUUAGGAUUUAAUUUAAAGUUUGUUUAGGAUUUGACUUAGGAUUUAGGAUUUAUUAGGGUUUAAGAUUUAAUUAGGUUUGGUCUAAAGUUUGAGUGAAAUUCAAUAGGAUUUUAACUAGAAUUAAAUUAAGGUUGAAUUGACAUAUAUUUGAGUAAUAUUUAUAUUUAUUCUAAUAUUUUUUUAAGAAUUUUAUUAUUUGUUUAAAAUUUCUUUGAGUUGUUUUGAAUUUGAUUACAUUUGUUUAUCAUUAUUAUAGUCUAAUUAGAGCAUUGUUAGUAUUCUAUUAGAAUUAGGAUUUUGUUAUGACAAUUUCUAUUCUUCCUUCUACAGUGAGGUGCCCGGAGCAUUCUCAAGCAAGACUUCAUACAUUAUGACAACGUUAAUAAAGACAAAGGGAAGAGUAAGUAUAUUACUUAUAAGCUUCAAUUUGAAGAAACCACAAAUUUGAAAGGAGUCUUAGAAGAAAGAGUAUUGAAUGCCAAACUUGAAUUUACUUUACGAGAAAUUUUAGGCAUUGCAAAGUGAGAGUUGCAUGAAGUCAUCAUGGAUACUAUUAAACAAAAGAGGCAAUUGACAGGAGAAUCUGCUCUAUCUAAUGCUUUGGAUACAAUCUUGACUAAAAAAAAAAAAACAUGAAUUGGCAGAAUGUUGUAUCAAUAAAAAGGGAAAAUUUGAUUUGGAUAAAUACAUGGAUGAUGGCAAGGGCCUUGGACACUAUACCAGGGAAUAUUGGGCAAGAAGCACCACAAAGACUUUAGUAAAAAUGGAAGACUUGGAAGACCCAGUAAUUGCUCUCAUUGACCAUGGAUCUGAAAUUAAUAUUAUGUCAAAAGAAGUCUAUAAACAUAGGAGAUGGCUCAUUGAUAUUAACUAUGGAUGGGUGAUUCAGGAAGCAAUUAAUACACGAAGAGAUCUUUAUGGUGCUUGCCCCAAUGUGAAGGUAAAGAUUGGAGAUUUGACUACAGAACAAAAUUUUUUGUUCAAGACACUACUUCAUACCUUGUGAUUCUUGGUCAACCAUAUAUUAUUGUUGUGAGGAUGGAUACCAAGGUUUUGGAUGAUGGAUCAGUAUGUGCCCGUAUAAAGUGCUGGAGAAAGAUAUAAUCCUUAUAUUUAAGCUUAUAGUUGUACCAGAGCUUCGUGAGCAUAUUAAAGGCAUUAUUAAAAGUUAUGGAGAAAAAUGGGAGGAUUUUAUCCUUCAUCUAAAAAAAUAGUAUUCUUUGGAAGAUACAGAAAGGGUGACAAGAAAAUCAUUUAUGGAAUGGGUCGAUAAAUCCAACAAGGGGUUGGUUACAAUAGAAUUAUUCUGAAAAUUUGAAAGACAGUUUCUUCAAUUGUCUUGAGUGAAAAAGCUUACACUUGAAAAUGAUAAGUUGGAGUUAUUUCUUCAAUCAGCUGGCCAUGAUUUACAAAGGGAGUUGGAAUUACUAUUGGACGAUAAUACAGAGGACAAUAGACUUACUACUGAUUGAAAAAAAGUCUCUGAAGUUGUGGGCAUACUUGCCAAAAGAAAGUACCGGAGGGAUAAGGUGAUAGUAAGGCAAGAGACUAGACCUCCACCAACUACAACAUCUCAUAGGCAACUGUCAGAACCUACUAUACUAGUAAAUACUAUUCCAAUUCCUAUGUCUGCAGUUGCAUCACAGAAAGAUGUAAUUGAUGAGUUGGUAAAAGGAAUGAAAGACUUACAAAUCAAACUUGCAAAGCUAGAGGAGAAAGAAAGAUUAUCUGAGAGUAAAUCUGUAUAAAAGCCAGGAUAUAUAUAACAAUGUAUUUGGUGCAAUAGUAUGGAACAUCCUCAAAGGGAGUUUGGAGAUUUUUGUGAUAUUUUGUGAUAGAGAGUAAUUUUAUGGAAAGAUGGAAAAAUUACGUUGCGAGGUACAAGUGAGUUUCUCAAAACCAAUUUUGGAAAGGGAGGGAUGAAAAAGGUUUUGGAAGAGUAUUUAUCUCAAUAGGCUAUGGCAUCAAAAGAAGCUAUUACUUAUAGCAUUGAGGCUAUAAGGAAGAAGGAAGAUGUUUUUGACAAGCAUGUAAACACAAGGGAUCUAUGGAAUCAUGUUAUUAUCAGCAUGAAUAAAGGAAAAACAACAAGGUAGGAAUUACUUAAUACAACCACAAUAAUUAGAAAUGCCACAAAAUGGGAUGACCCUGUAGAAACUAUGUUUGUACAUGUUUAUUUGGUAAAGUUCCAACAUGAAGCUUUGAUGGAGGUAAAAAAGGGAAGAAAUGAAAUAGAAGAAAAUUUUGAAGAGCCAACCAACAAGAAGAGAUCUCAAAGGCAUGCAAUAACCACACAAAAUAAACAAAUACUUAUACCAUAGGCUAAUAGACCAUCGAGGGCUGGGCCAUCAACAUCGAAUCCUCGAAUAGCACCACUGCCAAAAGAAAAAUGAGAAGAAAGAAUGGAAGUUGAUAAAGACAAAGAGAAGAAUAAGCAUAUUACUUAUAAGCUUCAAUCAGAUAUUGAGGCAACCAUAGAUUUGAAAAGAAUAUUGGAAGAAAGAGUAUUAAAUGUCCAAGUUGAAUUUACUCUACGAGAAAUUUUAGGCAUUGCAAAGUGAGAGUUGCAUGAAGUCAUCAUGGACACUAUUAAGCAAAAGAGGCAGUUGAUAGGAGAAUCUGUUAUAUCUAAUGCUUUAGAUAUAAUCUUGACUGAAGAAGAAAAACAUGAAUUGUCAGAAUGUUGCAUCAAUAGAAAAGGACAAUUUGAUUUGGAUGAAUACAAAGAUGAUGGCAAAGGCCCUGCACACUAUACCAAGGGAUAUUGGGUGAGAGACACCAUAGAGACUUUAGUAAAAAUAGAAGACUUGGAAGACCCAGUACUUGCUCUCAUUGACCAUGGAUCUGAAAUUAAUAUUAUGUCAAAAGAAGUCUAUAAACAUGGAAGGUGGCCCAUUGAUAUUAACCAUGGAUGGGUGAUUCGGGCAGCAAUUAAUACACGAGGAGAUCUUUAUGGUGCUUGCCCCAAUGUGAAGGUAAAGGUUGGAGAUGUGACCAGAGAACAAAUUUUUUUUGUUCAAGACACUACUUCAUAUCCAAUGAUUCUUGAUCAUCCAUAUAUUAUUGUUGUGAGGAUGGACACCAAGGUUUUGGAUGACGGAUCAAUAUGUGCCCGUAUUAGAAGUUAAGAUGGAAAAAUGAUAGUGGAGUUUCUAAUAUUACUUAUAUACCAUGAACGCAAUCAAGAUUAUCUAUGCAAUGGUCCAUUACUAAGGAUUACUGGGAAUUUAAAGUUUUUUGCAGGGUACCACUAUAGAGCGGGAAUAUAGUUGUACAUCAAAGAAAGUAUUCUCGCAUGGAGAAAAUAAUAUCUUUCAUACAGGUGUUGUAAAAUUAUCUAGGAAUAGAUUUGUUGUACAUACACAACUUAAUGACUUACAAAAAUGGGAGCAAAGAUGUAUGCAAAAAUCUGAAAAAGACCUAAAAAGAGUGGAUGUACUUGAUAAAGAUGCUUUAAUAGCAAUUAUAUAUAUGGAGACAUGUUCGAAAGAUUUUUGGAAGAAAUAAGCUUAAAAUAUAAGGACAAAAUUGACAUGUAGCAUUGAUUAAGGGAACAAAGAAUUUGUGAAGGUAUUAGAGAAGACAUAUAUUUUUUUACAAAUGAAGAAGAGGAAGACAUGGAUCAAAAAAAGACAAUAUUGGGAAGGUAAUAUGAUGCCGAUCACAACUUUGGUUCUUUUUGGUGCAUACCGGAGGAUGCACGGAUUUAGACGGGGUGGAUGUCGUGUUGUGGUUUAGCUAUUAUAUGAAAAUAAUGUAAUUAUAUACUUAAUAUAUAAUUUAUUAAUUAAUAUGGUGAGAGCCUUGUUAGUAGAUUUUAAUUGGUUGUAGAAUAUAAUUUGAUUAUUACCUUGAAAAGAGGUUGUUUAGAAAGAUUACUAUAGAACUUGUAUUACUUUAAUUUCUUUUUUAUAGUGGAUUUUAAGAUUGGUUUUGAUUGAUAGUAACUUCUAAAUAUUUAGAGUCACCUUGUUAGCCAUUGGUAACCUUUGAAAACUUAUUUUGGUUCUUUUAUUUGAUAUUUAGAGCAUAAAUUAUAUAAAUCUUAUAAAAAAAAGGAUUGAAGAAGGAUUUUGGUAAUAAAGGGAGUAAUUAGGACACCAAUAUAGAUGAAUGGAGAUGAAUGAUGAAAAUCUCCAUUCCUAUUAGUCAAACAUCAUGACCGAUGGGCUUUGAGGAGACUGUACGAGGCCAUAUUAGGGAUUAGGAUUAGUUUCUCAGGGCCAUUUGAGGUUUGAAGGCUAGAGUCAGAAGAUUUAGGUUUUUGUCUAUGGUUUUGGUACAAGUUUUGUAUGGUUUGGUAUUUAUAUGAAGGAGAUACAAGCGCUCAAAGUUAAGGUAUUGAUUUGAGAGCUACUGUCACUCUUUUUGGCAUAAUAUAUGCAUACAAAUAGCUAUUGAGGAUCGGCAACUGUGACUAGAGAGAAUACUUUUCCAGCUACACUUUUUGUAUAUUGCUUAUUGGAUUCCAAGUUGAAAUGAAGGAGUUAUUGGAUUUUGAAGUUAAUGCUUGCAAUCUAAGGGCAGUAAGUAUUCCGAUUUACUAGUGGUUGUCUCUUGAGCUAUAUCUUGAGCAAUUUGACAAGGUUUUUGCUCAAAAUUUUAGGAAAUAUUUAAUUUCAUGUUAGUAAACUUUGUACAUAAGUUUUAUGACAUUUGAAUAUUGAGUUCUUGAGACAUUAAGAAAAUAGUGCUCGGGUACUUGUAAAUUAGGAUUUAGAGCAUUUGCUAGGAUUUCUUAAAUGUUAGAAGAUCGAGAGUGAAUUUCUAGUUGGUUUUUUUUUUUGUAAUAAAAUUUAAAGGUGAAUUCUACCUAUUUUUAAAUUUGAGACAAACUGAAUGGUUAGAUCAAUAGCUAAGAUUUUCUAAAAUUUGGAGCAGGAAAACCUUUCGUGGGAAAAAUAUGUUUUGAAGGGGUUUUGUUAUAUUUUGAGUUUUAUGCAAAAUAAAAGAGUUUUGGGAGGCUAAUACAAGAUUCAUAUAAAGAUUUAAGCUACACUCUCUAUAGCUAGAUAUCUAGUAUAUUCCUAGAUAGUAAAUCAUGCCAUACAACAACGAAUUAUGUAAAAAAUUAGACUGAAGCCGUAGCUACGAAAAUCGAUAGUGCAAGUAUAGUAGUAACCUUUUUGUAUGAAAGUAUUAUAACACGGUUUGAUUAUCCACAAGAAUUGGUUAGUGAUCGAAGAAUUCAUUUUAUAAAUAGUAUAAUCGAAGCACUUAUAACCAAAUAUGAGAUAAAAUAAUGCAAGACUACAUCGUAUCAUCCUAGAGCCAAUGGAUAAAUGGAAAAGACUAAUAGAAUUUUAUGUAAAAUCUUAACAAAAAUAGUUUCAAGAGCGGGAACAGAUUGGGACACUAAGUUGUUUGCAGCUUUAUGGGCAUACCGUACUGCAUAUAAAGUUACUAUCAAUGCUAUCUCUUUUCAAUUGGUUUAUGGCCAGGAAGCAAUAUUACCUAUUGAAUUGGAAGUCCAAAGUUUACGAAUUGCUUUAGAUAAUAGAUUGAGAGAUUGUCAGCUCUCAAUUAUACUCUAAAAUUUAAGUUUUUGUUAUUUUUCUAUUUUAUGAUAAUUAAACAUGUUAGAUUAGGAUUUAUAUAAGUAGAAUUUAGUUUUAUAGAAUUUUUAGGAUUACAACCUCUCAUGGUAUAAAUCAUAGCCUAAUUCCUUGAAUUACAUUAAUUAGGACUAAAGUGACAAGAGUUAGAAAAUUAGAAUAGCAACUUAGUUAGUUUAAUAAUUUAGAGGUUGUUAGUCAUUACUAUAAGGGUUGACUGAAAGUCAAUGAGUAUGGCUAUAAUCAUUCACAUGAUUUAGGGGUUGGAAUUAUAAUUCUCUAAAAGAUUUAGAGAAGUUAGCAAUGGUAAUUUUGGAUUUUUUCUCCAAAUUCGGUAAAUUUAAGCGGCAUGGUGGUUCUUCUACUUAAUGGGAGUCUCUUUAAUACAAUGGUGGCACUGGAUUUACCUCGUGGAGUGAAGAAAACAAGAUCAGCAACCUCUCCUUCAAAAUACAAGAGAAGCAAUGAAAUUCUCAUUUUGAAGAAUUUCACAAAAAAAUUGCCAAGAUCCUUGUAAGUAAAAACUUCCAUGGAAAUUAUAAUUGAGCAUGGAUUAGAGCAUGUGAGAAGUCUAUCUUAACUUAAAAAGGUGUUUUGAACACAAUAGUGAAGUUAGAUUUACAAAAAAAAAUGCCUUCUUGACCACUUACAAAGGCCAUCAGCCUUGAUAACUAGAUUGGCUCUUGGAUGAAUGAAGGCUGUAGAUCUAGAUUAGGGAUCUAAAAAAUCAAGGAUGGAAAUGUAGCCACCCUUCUACGAGCCUCCACUCAAUUGUAUAAGAGAGGCUUGGUUUUCCAAGCCCUGUCUCUCUCCUCUUUUAGUGAAGGACGAAGCCAUGCUAAAAUUUGGCCAAAAAUCCUAAUUUUAAUUUCAUUUAGAUUUUAAAUCUCAUUAUGAAUUUUGUGGGUGGAUGUGCAUGGAUUUCAAGUUGUGAAUGAUAGUCAUUGCGUCUUAAAACACGUUUCAUUGUAGUGAAUAGCUUCCUUGGCCUCCCAAUUACUCCAAGGGUUUCAAGAGCCUCAGAUUUCCCUCCAUCAGUCAUUCAAUUGUUUUAGUUCCAAUGUGAUUUUUUCUGUGGUUGUAGAUUUUGUUGUUAGCUUUCCAAAAAGGUAAGGUUCGCUCCAUUUGGAGUUGAACUGAAUUUUUGGUGAAAUUUUGAGUGUGAGGGGAUCGACUGCCUUCGCAGUUUGGAUUAAUCGAGUUUGGGAAGGCAUUUCUUAGUGCCUGAUAACUGGAUUCAUUUGAAAUUUUGGGAGCAUCAAGAUUUGUAAGCUAAGCUUUGAAGGGCACAAGUUUCGCUGGAUUUGAAGACAAUUGAACUUUUAGCGAAUUUAUAAGUGAAGGGGGUUGGUCGCAGCGGCAGUUUGGAUCACUCAACUUCAAAGGGGCAAUUCUCACGACUGGAUCACUAGAUUGCAAUGAGAUUUAUUGGGACAGGAGCGUCUUUAAGUUAACCUUGCAACUACUUAUGAAUCAUUCAAUUUGGAGCUAAUUAAAAAUUUUGGCGAAUUUUGGAGUAGAAGGGGGUCGCUGCCUUCAAUCCUUGACGUUGUUAAGGUACCUUCGCUUUUAUCCCUCUUAUUUUAUUUUUACUUUUAUCUUCACAGUAACUUGUAAUCUCCACAUUUCAACUUUUUACUAAUAAAUUUUAACUUUUAACUUUUAACCUUUAAUAUUCUCACUUAAAUUUUUAAACUUUGAACUUUAAUUUUUGAAUUUAAUAUUUAACUUUAAUUUUUAACUUUUAACUUUAACUUUUAACUUUAACUUUAAACUUAAAUUUUAACAUUAACUUUUAACUUUUAAUUUAAACUUAAGUUUUUAUUCUUAUUGUGAAUUAAUAAGAAAAACUUAAGUAAUUACUUUUAUUCUUUUUUUGUGUGGUGAAUUUCAUCUGAUAUUUUAAUUUAAUAUCGAUAACCAUUACUUAGAAGGCGUUAAUUUUAAUUGAAUUACAAACACCCAUAUUUUAAUUAACCUAAAAAUUUCACAAUUGGGAGUUCUUCCAUUCUACCUCUUGAGUUCAUUGUGUAGUACUAAAUUCAUAAAGUGGUGGAUUUUAGGCUCACAGAGAUCAUGAUUCAUUAUGCCACCAUUUAGAAGAAUUAGAAAAAUUUGAUGAAACUAGACCCAAUGCAUUAAUGAUAAUGGAAACUACAAAAAAAUAAAGAAAGACUUAUUAUGAUAGUAAGCUUAGACCAAAGGCUUUUAUGCCAAAUGAUUUGAUACUUUAUGAUAGUCAAUUUAAAAAAUUUCCAGGAAAAUUUCAAGUUUGAUGGAAUGGGCCAUAUCGAGUUAUUGACGGAUUUCUAAAUGGUUCACUGCAAUUGGAAGAUUUUAUGGGUACUAAAUUUAUUGCAUGGAUCAAUGGCAAUCAACUUAAACUAGACUAUACAUAAACCCAAGAUGGGUUUUCUGUUACAAAAAAGGGAGUCGAUUCAAUUCAUUGGACCAUAGUAAGAAGUAGGAGGGGGACUCUUGACAAGCAUCAUGUUUUUUUUUUGUGAUUAAGGAGAAGUGGAUGGUGGAAAAGGAAAAGAUGGCGAACAUGGUAUCUGAGAAAGCCAGAAUUGAGACCGAUUGGAAGGAUCGGCAAGAGCGGCUGGAGGUAGAGGUUGCAAUGUUGCAAACUAAACUAGCCACAUUAGCAAAGGAAGUCAAUAAUUUAGUGUGGACGAAUACCCCAGUUUCAGCGACAACACUUUCAGAGAUACCUUUGAAACCGAUAGAAGAAUGGCAGAAGAUGUUAAAAGAGUGCAACAACCAAAUUGCCCGUCUUGAGUCUCACGUACGGGAAUUGGGUUUGUUGAAUGAAGAUCUGACAAUGCAUUUGGAUAGAGAACCAUUGAACACCAAGGAAGACAACGAAGAUGUAGCAGAGGAGAAGGUCACCAAUUCAAAGGGUGGUAAGCCAACGCCAUUGAUUAAAGAAGCCAACGCUACUACGUCUUUAUAAGUUGAGAUUAAAUAAUAUUUAUGAGGGCACUGUACAAUUAGGAGUGAGGCUAUAUAGAAUAGAUAAAUAAAUUUUGUAGUAAGUUACUAGUUGGUUAUUGAUAACCUUAAGAAUUAGACUUAUGAUUAAGCAGUUUAGUUGGUAACAGUAGGUUGUUAGACGAACAAAUGGUUAAGAAUUCAAAGGGUCAUAACCUUUGAAAUCUGCUGGCCAACGGUCCAUUUUUUAAUAGGAUAAAGAGGUUGAGAAGUGGGAGAUCGAGACCAAACUAUGAGAAUCAUAAGUCAGAGGGCUAAACUCUAACAAUCGUAAGCCGAGGGAAGCUUCAUGCUACCUCUUUGUUUUCUUUGCUUUUAUUAUUUGCUUAUAAAGAAUUGUGAUUGAGAGAAGUAUUAUUGAAACUAUGAUUAGAAUAUUAUAGAGUAUGACUUUGGAGUGACCGUUUUGGAGAAAAUUUGUGACCUUGAGGAUUCAGAUUAUCAAAUUGUGUUGUGUUAAGUGAAGAUAUUGAAUUCUGUGUGAUGAAUUGAGAAACUCAAUAUAAUAGUAAGUUGGAGAUCAAUAAUUGAAUAUAUAUAAACCGUAAAGAGAGUAAGUGGAAGAUGAACUGAUAAGAAUAUGGAAGUAUUGUUGAAUUGAUAGUCGUAGAAUGGAUCAUGUGUUGAAUUAAGACAAAAGUAGUAAGCCUUGGUGUUUUGUAGUUUGAUAAUUGAUUUCAGAUAACUAAAGUACAGUAAAUUGUGACACUUACAGAUCCAAUUCAUAUAACCAAUCUUUUCCCGUGUUCGAACCCACUUCUAUUAGUUCAAUUACUUUGGUAUAUUGAAGCUUGAACACAACGAGAACAACACGCAGAAUAUCAGUAAAAUCUCUACACUCCCUUUGAGGAUGCUCCAUACUAUCUCACCAAAUACAUUGUUAUAUAUAUCCUGGCUUUUAUACAGAUUUACUCUCAGGUAAUCUUUCUUUCUCCUCUAGCUUUGCUAGUUUGAUUUGUAAGUCUUUCAUUCCUUUUACCAACUCAUCAAUUGCAUCUUUCUGUGAUGCAACUAUAGACAUAAGAAUUGGAAUAGUACUUACUGGUAUAGCAAGUUCUAGCAAUUGCCUAUGAGGUAUUGUAGUUGGUCGAGGUCUAGUUUCUUGGCUUACUACCACCUUACUCCUCCGGUACUCUCUUUUAGCAAGUAUGCCCACAGCUUUAGAGACUUUCUUCUAAUCAAUAGUAAGUCCAUUGUCCUCUAUAUUAUUCUCCAAUAGUAAUUCCAAGUCCCUUUGUAAAUCAUUGCAAGUUGAUUGAAGAAAUAACUCUACCUUAUCAUUUUGAAGUGUAAGCUUUUUCACUCAAGACAAUUGAAGAAAUGUCUUUCAAAUUCUUGGAAUAAUUUUGUUGCAACCAAUCUCUUGUUGGAUUUAUUGACCCAUUCCAUAAAUGAUUUUCUUGUCAUCCUUUCUAUAUCUUCCAAAGAAUACUCUUCUUUUAGAUGAAGGAUAAAAUCCUCCCAUUUCUCUCCAUGAGUUUUAAUAAUCUCCUUUAUAUACUCACGAAGCUCUAGUACAACUGCAAGCUCAAAUGAUAGGAUCAUAUCUUUUUUUGGCAAUUUAUUGAGCUCCAUCUCCCAAGAAUAAUACUUAAGAUACUUGAAAAUAUUUCUUCCAUCAAAUUGAUCCAAUAAGCCAACAACAGAUUAUAAGGCUUUAAUAGCCAUUGCCUCCUUGCGUUCCACUGCUUAUUGUUGCAUAAAAAGUAUAAAUGCUUGAAAUAUUUGAGUUGUAGUAGGAUCAAGUUGCAAUGGAGAUUCCCUAAUGCAAUUCUUCCUACCACUUCUUUGCCCUUCUUCCAUAAUAGAAAGCCAAAAUAUUUUUUCAAAACUCUCUACUCCAGAAAUUUUUAAGUCGGGUUCACCAGGUCUGUCAUAUGGCGUGAUUUGCUAUCUGAGAAUACAUUGGAUAUCUAGAUGUAGAGAGUGUAGCUUAAAUCUUUAUAUUAAUCUUGUCUUAGGUUCUAAAACUCCUUUAUUUUGCAUAAAACUCAAAAUAUAACAAAAUCCCUUCAAAACAUAUUUUUCUUGCAAAGGAUUUUCUUGUCCCAAACUUUAGAAAUUCAUAUCUCUUGAUCUAACUGUUUAGUCUAUCUCAAAUUUAUAAGAUAUUGUCAAGGACAAGAACUCGAUGAAAGCUAAAGAGUAAGUGAGACUUUUCUCAAAAAGAAAUAGGACAAAAUAGAAAUAUGUAUAUUAAGAAAGAAACUGGAAUGGCUAUUGCCAAAAUACAAGAAAACUAGAGACCCUUGAAACUAGACUAGAAGCAAGAAAGGAGUUGACAAGAGUGAAGAGGGCUUCACUCUUGCCUCUAUAUAUACUAUCUAACUAGAAGCCACGUGGCGAUGUUCUAUAAGACCUCCAAUAUAUGUUGACUUUCUAGGCCACAUGCCUUUGCUUGCAAGGCAAGUUUUCUAUGGAUGGACCAUGUAGUUAGCUUGUUCUUUAAGCUUCCAACAUGUGUGGCACAUGGCUAACUUGUUGACCAAGUUUCUAACCUAAAAAUCAACUAUAGACUCCUAUAAAGUCAAAGCAGCGUCUAUGAAGCUUCUAAGAAGCUUCUCUAGAAGAUAUUACACAAUUAACCUACUUUUACAUACUUUUAUCUAUUCAUAUAGGUAAUUAUAUGUAUGUCCGUGACAUUACCCCCCCUUCUAGGGACGAGUUCCACGAGGAGCGGUGAUUAUAUAUUGAGAAAAUCUAAUAUGCGGCGAAUUGUAUUUGCUACAUACUCUGAUCUUUGUUCUCUUCGAAGAUAGUUGAUGGGUCCUCUUAGCCAUCAAUAGUGUCCCAUUCCAGGGCGAGAAGACCACCCUGUUAUUUGAUCACUGUUGAGGCCUUCAUAACUUCCUUCAAAUAAUACAUUUGAAACACCAUCAGGAGUCGUUCCUAUCUCCAAUAAUAUCACCAAACAUCGAGAAUCUCUUCCAAGGUCGUGAUACCAAACGCGUUGUAUCUCACCAUCUAUUCGAGGAAGAACAUGUCGUUCUUGAGGGUCUUCAUCUCGGUUGCGUCGUCUUGAAGGUUGUGACAAUCGCAAUGUCUCAUCCGGUAAGUCAGCAAACAAAGGUUCUUGAGUUGAAUCCGCUGGUUGUUGGCUCUCCAUCUAAUUAGCGUCACAAAAUGCAAAGAAGUUACAAACAAAGAUAGGAAAUUGAAUGUUAUCUUGCCUCAAUCUUGUCUCUUUUAUAAGAGAGGUUUUCAUCUUGGUUUUGAUGGAUGUUGUUGAUGAAAAACUUUGACUUUAGCUGAUGCAUUUGCUAGAUUCCUGGAUGGCUCCCAUGUGCGCUCACUAAUAUCAUAUCCGCACCAAUGAACAAGAUAUUCCAGCUUAUUUCGGCGCCGCCUUGAGUCUAAUAUCUCUUCCACCUCAAAUUCUUCAUUAUUAUCUACUUCUAUAGGAGGCGGUGGCAUUUGUCUUCUUCCUUGUAUAUCCACUGUCUUAUAUGGUUCAAGAAGAGACACGUGGAAUAAAGGAUGGAUCUUCAUUGACUCCGGUAGAUGUAACCGAUAUGCAACUGGUUGAUCUGUUCGGAAACAGAAAAGGGGCCAAGCCUACGAUAGUCCAAUUUGUCACAAGGUCGAGUGGUCUUGAUAUUGCGACGAAGUAGCUAUACCUUAUCACCCACGUUGAGUUGUGGUUGCUCUUUACGAUAUACAUCUGCAUUUAUCUUUUGCCGUUUUUGAGCUUUCUUCAACUGCGCCUUCAUUAUUGCAUGUAACUCUGACAACCGAUUUGCCAUAUCUUCUGCUGCAGGAUUAUCAACUUUUGAAAAAUCAAAAGUAUCAAGUCGUGGAUGAUAGCCAUAAUUGGCAAAGAAAGGUGUUUGUUGCGUGGAAGAAUGUACUGUAUUAUUAUAAGCAAACUCUGCCAAUGGCAGAAGGUUUGUCCAAUCAUCUUGUUGAUAGUUGAUGGUACACCUUAAAUAUUGUUCCAAGACUUGGUUUACGCGCUCUGUUUGUCCAUCAGUUUGAGGAUGGAAAGCUGAAGAUAGCUUUAUGUCCACUUUUAAAAUCUUGAAAAGAGUCCUCCAGAAUCUCGACACAAAUUGAGUUCCCCUAUCCGAUAUGAUAUCUUUAGAUAAUCCAUGAUAGCGAUAGAUAUUAUCAAUGAAAAGCUUAGCUGUUUUUUCACCUGUGAUAGAUUUUGUACAUGGCAUAAAAUGUGCCAUCUUGGUGAAACGAUCUACUAUCACAAAUAUAGAAUCAUUAGAUCUUGAGUUUGGAAGAUCUGUGAUGAAAUCCAUAGAAACAGAAGACCAUGGUUGUUCUGGUAUAGGUAAUGGCUGAAGAAGUCCGUAAGGUCGAUGUCGAGGAAUUUUUGAUCUUGAACAAAUAUCACAUGAUUGUACAAAUUCUUUGACUGACUUCCACAUUUGUGGCCACCAAAAAUCUCUUGAUAUGAGUUUCAAAGUCUUAUUAUAUCCAAAGUGCCAUGCUGCUGGAAAGUCAUGACGUGCUUGAAGAACACGCAAACGUGCUUUUCCUUCUGGAACAUAUAGGCGUCCUUCAAAAUAUAAUAGAUUAUUCUUGAACUCGAACUUAGAAGAAUCAUGAGACUUGGAAGAAUUAUUCUCGAUAUCAUGAACAAGAGGGUCUGAGGACAUACUGGACUGGAUUUGCUUGAGAAAAGUUGAAUCAACAGUCAAUGUUGAUUUCACUGCUCGGAGAUGAAAUUGCUCCGGUUUCAAGAGGACCGUUCUUUGUUGCUCAAAAGCUGCAUCUCCUUCUUUUGGUGCAAAAUAAGAACGUCUAGACAGGGCAUCGGACAAACCUUGUUGUUUUCUUGGCCGAUAAGUGAUAAUGAAGUCGAAUCUUGACAAAGACAUACUCCAACGAGCUUGACGACGAUUCAACAUGCGUGCUGACAUGAAAUACUCGAGGUUCUUGUGAUCUGUAUACACAGUGACUGGACUAGAAGCACCUUCUAGAUAAUGACGCCAUUCUUGAAAGGAAUCCACGAUUGCAAGAAGUUCUUUAUCGUGGAUCUCAUAAUUGAUCUCGGCUGCUGAGAAUUUUCUUGAAUGAAAAGCUAUCGGAUGAAGUUUGUCAUCUGUUCCCAUUUGUGAUAAAACUGCACCCAAGGCAAAAUCCGAUGCAUCUGUUUCCAUAAAAAAUGCCUUGGAAAAGUCAACACGAUAUAAGACUGGUGCAGAGACAAACGAUGUCUUCAAGGCUUCAAAUGCUGCUUCCGCUUCUUGAUUCCAUUGGAAUUUAUCUUUACUAGUCAAGCGUGUAAGUAGAGUUGCAACUCGUGAGAAGUCUUUGAUGAAGAUCCGAUAGUAAUUGGCAAAUCCCAAGAAACAUUGGACAUCUCUUACAGUCUUUGGAAUCUUCCAAUCCAUGAUUGUUUGGACUUUCUUAGAAUCCAUCAUAAGACCAUCAUUUGAAAUGAUGUAUCCUAAAAAGUCAACUUGAGUAGUGUGAAAUACACACUUUUCUAUCUUGGCGUACAAUCCUGCAUCUCUAAGUUUUUGUAAUACUUGACGAACAUGUAUUUCAUGUUCUUCAACAUUCUUAGAAUAGAUCAGGAUAUCGUCUAGGUAGCAGACGACAAAAUUGUCUAAGAAUUCAUGAAAUACAUCAUUCAUGAGAUGUUGAAAAGCAGCUGGUGCAUUCGUGAGUCCAAAAGGCAUGACAUUGUAUUCAAAGUGUCCGUACCUGGUUCGAAACGCAGUCUUCCAUUCAUCUCCUUCUUUGAUCCGUACUAGAUUAUAUGCUCCUCUUAGAUCUAUUUUUGUAUAGAUCUUAGCUUGAUUUAACUGGUCAAGGAGUCCUGAUAUCAAAGGUAAUGGAUACCUGUUCUUGAUUGUGAUCUUGUUGAGUCCUCGAUAGUCAACACACAUUCGUAAAGAUCCAUCUUUUUUCUUUACGAAUAAAAUUGGAGCUCCUGCUGGAGAUUUUGAAUGGCGUAUGAAAUUCUUCGCUAAAUUCUCGUCAAUAUAUGUCUUGAGUUCAGCCAACUCAUCUUGCGAUAAACUGUAAAUUGGUCCAAAUGGUGGCAGAGUUCCUUCCUUGAGAUCGAUUGAACAAUCGUAUGGGCGAUGCUCAGGAAGAAUAUCUGCAUUCUUUUUCUCAAAAACGUCUUGAUAAUCCUGAUAUUGACUUGGAAUGCCACUUGAAGUCUUUACGCUUUCAGAAAUAGGUGCAGCAUAAAUAGCAAAAGUUGAUCCUUCUUUUGCUGCGUGUAUAAAUGCUUUUGCACCUAUAGGUGCGAGUUUUACUAUACUAGACUCAUGGUUUUUUACUUGGUUAAUAGAACUGUUACUAAUGCUCUGAGGAAAAUCAAGUUUACGAGAAAUCCAAUCUAUUCGAGGAUUAUACUUUUCUAACCAUGAUAAGCCUAAAAUUACUGGAUUAGAGGGAGAUCUAAUUAUAUUAAAAAUUACGCAACUACUAUGACCAUUUAUUACUACAUCUACAGGAAGUGUUUCGUGAGUUACAUCUCCAGAAGACAACGGACGACUAUCUAUGACUUCUACGUGUACAGGUUUAGUUUUUUGUAUUAAUGAUAUUCUAUGACAUCUAGCAAAUUCUUCAUCUAAAAAACAAGAUGAGGCUCCUGAAUCUACCAAGGCAGAGGCUUUGUAAUUAUUAGGUCCUAAACGCACAUCUAUUAUAAAACAAGGAGAUGGUUCUGAGGAGAGGAUAGGACCUUUAUUAGAAGUUGUACAAGAUUCCAGCCGCACGGUCCCUAUUGUAGCUGGACGUACUCGUUUUCUGACAUACUGUCUUCUUUGAUAGCCGUACUCCUCAUUUUGUAGUUAUGUCGCUUCUUUGGACAAUGUUGAGCAGUGUGCUUAGGUUCUCCACAAUAUAAGCACAAUCCUUCUUGUCGACGACGAGACUUUUCUUGCUCAGUAAGAGGUUUGAAACGUACCGCAUCAAUUUGCAUAUCCUCUACUUCUGAAGGUAUGUGUUGAGGAGACGUCGGUGUUGCCAUUGAAUUGUAGUAACGUUGAGGCCCACUUGUGCGACUCUCGGAUCGAAAUUCAAAAAGUCGAUUGUCGCACUUCACAGCAAAGUCAAUUGCUUGACUCAAUGUUUGAGAAUCAGGUAAAUUAAGCAUCAAUUUCUUUACCUCAUAUUGUAAUCCGUAGAGAAAUUGACUCACAAGUGCGGCAUCAUCCCACUUGAUAUCAGUUACAAGUUGUCGAAAUUGCGAAGCAUAUAAUGUUACUGAUCGAUUGCCUUGUCGCAAAAUACGGAUCUUGUUGGUUGCAACACGAAUUGCAUCAUGUUCUCCAAACAUGGAUCGAAACUCCGCCAAAAAAGCCUCCAGAUUAUCCAAUAUUGGAUCUCGUCGUUCAAGAAAAGAUGAAAACCAUGACAAUGCUGAACCUGAAAGAAGUGUACCAAUGAAUCUAACUUGUGACCCUGGAGUUGGAUAGCUCUGGGGUUGAAGUUCAAUCACUAGUUGGACCUGAUUGAUGAAUCCUCGAAACUUGGAUCUGGUACCAUCAAACUUCUCGGGCAAGGCAACUCUCGGUUCUCUAACACUCGAAGGGUGUUCCAUUCUGGGAGAAGGGAUAUGGUUUGGUGCAGAUGUUGAAGCAGCCCUAAUCAUUUCUAUAUCUUCACUUCCUACCAUUUUUGUUGCUCCUUGUGGUGGUAAAUUGAGUUGAUGCAUCGCAAGCAUUAACUCCCUCAAUUGUUCUUGCAUCUGUGCUAUUGCACUCUUCAUUUCAACAAGCUCUGCCAUAGUAGCACUUAGAAAAGAGAAGAUAUCUAACAAUGCUCAAAACAAAUAGAAGAGAGGAAUUGAUAACAAAGAAAAUACUAAGAACAAUAUCAGUUUAAAAGAGGGUAAUCCGCAACUUCUAAUGCGCUUAUGUCUUAUCAAGAAAAAAGGGGUAAUCCACUCUUAAUCAAGAAAAGACAAAGCUCUGAUAUUGUAAGUGUACUCUUGUCAAUCUGUCAAGGACAAGAACUCGAUGAAAGCUAAAGAGUAAGUGAGACUUUUCUCAAAAAGAAAUAGGACAAAAUAGAAAUAUGUAUAUUAAGAAAGAAACUGGAAUGGCUAUUGCCAAAAUACAAGAAAACUAGAGACCCUUGAAACUAGACUAGAAGCAAGAAAGGAGUUGACAAGAGUGAAGAGGGCUUCACUCUUGUCUCUAUAUAUACUAUCUAACUAGAAGCCACGUGGCGAUGUUCUAUAAGACCUCCAAUAUAUGUUGACUUUCUAGGCCACAUGCCUUUGCUUGCAAGGCAAGUUUUCUAUGGAUGGACCACGUAGUUAGCUUGUUCUUUAAGCUUCCAACAUGUGUGGCACAUGGCUAACUUGUUGACCAAGUUUCUAACCUAAAAGUCAACUAUAGACUCCUAUAAAGUCAAAGCAGCGUCUAUGAAGCUUCUAAGAAGCUUCUCUAGAAGAUAUUACACAAUUAACCUACUUUUACAUACUUUUAUCUAUUCAUAUAGGUAAUUAUAUGUAUGUCCGUGAUAGAUAUGUAAAAUUCACCCUUAAAAUUUAUCACAAAAAAAACCAAUUGUAAAUUCACUCUCAAACUUCUAACAUUUAAGAAAUCCUAGCAGACGCUUUAAAUCCUAAUUUACAAGCACCCAAGCACUAUUUUCUUAAUAUCUCAAGAAUCCAAUACUCAAAUGUCAUAGAACUUAUGCAUAAAGUUUACUAACAUGAAAUUACACAUUUCCUGAAAUUUUGAGCAAAAACCUUGUCAAAUUGCUCAAGAUAUAGCUCAAGAGACAACUACUAGUGUAUCGGAUCACUUACUACCCUUAGAUUGCAAGCAUUGACUUCAAAAUCCAAUAACUCCUUCACUUCAAAUUGAAAUCUAGUAAGCAGUCCAUGAAAAGUGUAGCUGCAAAAGUGCUCUCUCUAGUUGCAAUCGCCAAUCCUCAAUUGCUAUCCAUAUGCAUGUGUUAUGCUAAAAAGAGUGACGGUAGCUCCCAAAUCAACACCUUUACUUUGAGUACCUAUAUCUCCUUCAUAUAAACUCCAAACCAUACAAAACUUAUGCCAAAACCAUAGCCAAAAAUCUAAACUUGCUGAUUCUAGCCUUCAAAGCUCAAAUGGCCCCGAGAAAUUAACCCUAAUCCCUAAUAUGGCCUCAUGCAGCCUCCUCAAAGCCCAUUGGUCAUGAUUUUUGACCAAUAGGAAUGGAGAUUUUCAUCAUUCAUCUCCAUUUAUCUAUAUUGGUGCCCUAAUUACUCCCUUUGCUACUAAAAUCCUUUUUCAAUCUUUUUUUUUUUAUAAGAUUUGCAUAAUUUAUGCUCUAAAUAUCAAAUAAAAGAACCAAAAUAAGUUUUCAAAGGUCACCAAUGUCUAACAAAGGUGCUUCUAAAUAUUUAGAAGUUAUUAUCAACCAAAACCAAUCUUAAAAGCCACUAUCAAAAGAAAAUUAAAGUUAUACAAAUUCUAUAGUAAUCUUUUUAAACAACCUCUUCUCAAGGUAAUAAUCAAAUUAUAUUCUACAACCAACUAAAAUCUACUAUAGAGUUCUUAUCAUAUUACUUAAUAAAUUAUAUAUUAAAUACAUAAUUGUAUUAUUUUCAUAUAGUAGCUGAAUAUCAACAUGGCAUUGUGACAUUAUCCCUCUUUUUAGGGAUGAGUUCCAUGAGGAGCGGUCAUCAUAUGUUAAAGAAGUGUCACGGACAUAAUCAUGUAAGCUAGUAAUUAUAUAUACAAAUAGGUAGAAGUAAGUAAAAAUAGAUAAAAAUAAGUUAAUUCUAUAGUAUUUAACAUGAUAGCUUCUUAGAAGCUUUAUAGACACUGCUUUGACUUCAUAGGUAUCUUUAAUUGACUUUUUGGAUUAGAAACGGGGUCAACAAGUUGGCCAUGUGCUACACAUGUUGUUAGCUUGAAGAUCAAGCUAACUAUGUGGCCCGCACAUAGAAAAACUUUCCUUGUAAGUCAAAGCAUGUGUCCUACAAAGUCAACACAUAUUAGCGGUCCUAUAGAAUGUCGCCACAUAGCCCCUAGUUAGAUAGUAUAUAUAGAGACAAGAGUGAAGGCUUCUUCACUCUUGUCAACUCCUUUCUUGCUUCUAGUCUAGUUUCAAGGGUCUCUAGUUUUUUUGUCUUUUGGCAAUAGCCAUUCCAGUUUCUCUUUCAAUAUAUAUAUUUGUUUAUAUAUAUUUUGUUACCUCUCUUUGAAUAAAGGCUCACUUAUUUGAAUUUUUUUUUCAUCGAAUUCUUAUCCUUGACAGAUUGACAAAAGUACACCUACAAUAUCAGAGCUUUGUCUAAUCUUGAUUAAGAGUGGAUUAUCCCUUUUUCUUAAUAAGAUAUAAGCAUAUUAGAAGUAACGGAUUACUCUCUUCUAAACUGAUAUUGUCCAUAGUUUUCAAGUCCUCUCUUCUAUUUGUCUUGAGCGAUAUUAGACAUCUUCUCUCUUCUAAGUGUUAUCAUGGCAGAACUUGUUGAAAUGAAGAGUGCAAUAGUACAAAUGCAAGAGCAAUUGAGGGAGUUAAUGCUUGCGAUGCAUCAACUCAAUUUACCACCACAAAAAGCAACAAGAUUGGUAAGAAGUGAAGAUAUAAAAAUGGUUGGAGCUGCUUCAACAUCUGCACCAAACCAUGUCCUUUGUCCUAUGGUGGAACGCCCUUCAAAUGUUAGAGAACCAAGAAUUGCCAUACCUGAGAAGUUUGAUGGCACCGGAUCCAAGUUUCGAGGAUUUAUCAAUCAAGUGUAACUUGUGAUUGAACUUCAACCCCAAAGCUAUCUAACUCCAGGAUCGCAAGUUAGAUUCAUUGGUACGCUUCUUUCAGGUUCAGAACUAUCGUGGUUUUCAUCUUUUUUGAACGACGAGAUCCAAUAUUGAAUAAUCUAGAGGCUUUUUUGGUGGAGUUUCGAUCCAUGUAUGGAGAACAUGAUGUAAUUCAUGUUGCAACCAAAAAGAUCCAUAUUUUACGACAAGAUAAUUGAUUACUAACGUUAAAUGCUUCAAUAUUUUGACAACUUGCAACUGAUAUCAAGUAGGAUGAUGCUACACUUAUUAGCUAAUUUCUCUACGGAUUAUAAUAUGAGGUAAAAAAAUUAAUGCUCAACUUACCUGAUCCUCAAACAUUGAGUCAAGCAAUUGACUUUGUAGUGAAGUGUGACAAUCGCCUUUUUGAAUUUCGAUCUCAGAACCAUACAAGUGCACCUCAACGUUACUAUAAUUCAAUGGCAACACCAACACCUCUUCAACACAUACAUUCGGAAGUAGAGGAUAUGUAAAUUGAUGCAGUACGUUUCAAACCUCUUACUGAGCAAAAAAAGACUCGUCGUCGUCAAGAAGGAUUAUGUUUAUAUUGUGGAGAACUAAAGCACACUGCUCAAUAUUAUCCAAAGAAACGACGCAAUCACAAAAUGAGGAGUAUGGCUGUAAAAGAAGAUAAUAUGUUGAAAAACGAGUUUGUCCAACUAAAAUAGGGACCGUGCGACUAGAACCUUGCACAACAUCUAGUAAAGGUCCUAUUCUCUCUUCAGAGCCUUCUCCUUGUUUUACAUUAAAUGUUAUUUUAGGACCUAAACAUUACAAAGUCUCUGCCUUGUUAGAUUCAGGAGCCUCAGCGUGUUUUUUAGAUGAAGAAUUUACUAAAAGACAUAGCAUAUCUUUAGUAAAGAAAACUAAACAUGUUCAUGUAGAAGUCAUAGAUGGUCGUCCAUUGUCAUCUGGAGAUAUUACUCAUGAAAUCCUUCUUAUAGAAGUAAUAAUCAAUGGUCAUAAUAGUUUUGUAGUAUUUAAUAUUAUUAGAUCUAUCUCUAAUCCAGUAAUUUUAGGUUUAUCGUGGUUAAAAAAAUACAACCUUCAAAUAGAUUGGAUUUCUCGAACUCUUACUUUCUCUAAAAAUAUAACUAAUAGUGUAGUUAAUCAAGUAGAGAGUCAUAAGUCCAAUUCAAUUAAACUCGUAUUUAUAGGUGCAAAAGCUUUCUUACAUGCUGCUAUGAAAGAAUCACCAUAUAUUAUUUAUGCCACACCCGUUUCUACUAGUGAAAAGACUUCAAGUGGCAUUCCAAGCCAAUAUCAAGAAUUUCAAGAUGUAUUUGAAAAAAAAAAUGUGGAUACACUCCCGGAACAUCGUCCCUAUGAUUGCUCAAUUGACCUUCAAGAAGGAGCACAACCGCCAUUCGGACCAAUCUAUAGUUUAUCACAAAAUGAGUUGGCUGAACUCAAGGAAUAUAUUAAAAAAAAUCUAGCUAAGAAUUUCAUACGCCAUUCUAAAUCUCCAACAGGAGCUCCAAUUCUAUUUGUGAAGAAAAAAGAUGGAUCAUUGCGGAUGUGUGUUGAUUAUCAAGGACUCAAUAAGAUUACUAUCAAGAAUAGGUAUCCACUACCUUUAAUAUCUGGACUUCUUGAUCAGCUAAAUCAAGCUAAGAUCUAUAGAAAAAUAGAUCUUCGGGGAGCAUACAAUCUAGUACACAUCAAAGAAGGAGAUGAAUGGAAGACUACGUUUCGAACUAGGUAUGGACAUUUUGAAUACAAUGUCAUGCCUUUUGGACUUACAAAUGCACCAGCAACUUUUCAACAUCUAAUGAAUGAUGUUUUUUGAGAAUUUUUGGACGAUUUUGUGGUAUGUUAUCUAGACGACAUCUUGAUCUAUUCUAAGAAUCCAGAAGAACAUGAACUUCAUGUUCGUCGUGUGUUACAAAAAUUAAGAGAUGCAGGACUCUAUAUCAAGAUAGAAAAGUGUGUGUUCCAUACUACUCAAGUCGAUUUCUCAGGUUACAUCAUUUCAAAUGAUGGACUUAUGAUGGAUCCUAAGAAAGUUCAAACUAUUAUAGACUCAAAGAUCUCAAAAAUGAUAAGAGAUGUCCAAUGUUUUUUGGGAUUUGCCAACUACUAUCGGAUCUUCAUCAAAGACUUCUCUCGAGUUGCAGCUCUACUUACACGUUUGACUUGUAAAGACAAACUCCAAUGGAAUCAAGAAGCGGAAGUUGCUUUUGAAUCUUUGAAGACAGCGUUUGUUUCUGCACCAAUAUUGUAUCGUGUUGAUUUUUUCCAAGCAUUCUUUAUGGAAACAGAUGCAUCGGACUUUGCUCUAGGUGUGGUUUUAUCACAAAUGGGAACAGAUGACAAACUUCAUUCAGUAGCCUUUUAUUCAAGAAAAUUCUCAGCAACAAAAAUCAAUUAUGAGAUCCACGACAAAGAACUUCUUGCAAUUGUGGAUUCUUUUCAAGAAUGGCAUCAUUAUCUAGAAGGCGCUUCCAGUCCAGUCACCGUAUAUACGGAUCACAAGAACCUCGAAUAUUUUAUGUCAGCACGCAUAUUAAAUCAUCGCCAAGCUUGUUGGAGCAUGUCUUUAUCAAGAUUCGAGUUCAUCAUCACUUAUCCGCAAGGAAAACAACAAGGUUUGUCCGAUGCCUUGUCUAGACGUUCUUAUCUUGCACCAAAAGAAGGAGAUGCAGCUUUUGAGCAACAAAGAAUGGUUCUCUUGAAGCUAGAGCAAUUUCAUCUUUGAGCAAUAAAAUCAACAUUGACUGUCGAUUUAACUUUUCUUAAGCAAGUCCAGUUAAGUAUGUCUUCAGACCCUCUUGUUCAUGAUAUCAAGAAUAAUUCUUCUAAAUCUCAUGAUCCUUCUAAAUUUGAAUUCAAGAACAACCUACUCUAUUUUGAAGGACGUCUAUAUGUUCCAGAAGGAGAAGCAUGUUUACGUGUUCUUCAAGCUCAUCACGACUUCCCAACAGCAGGACAUUUUGGAUAUAAUAAGACUUUAGAGCUGAUAUCUAGAGAUUUUUGGUGGCUUCAAAUGUAAUAUCUAGGCAUUUUUGGUGGCUUCAAAGGCAGUUAAAGAUUUUGUACAAUCAUGUGAUGUUUGCUCAAGAUCAAAAACUCCUCGUCAUCGACCUUUUGGACUUCUUCAGCCAUUAUCCAUUCCAGAACAACCAUGGUCUUCUGUUUCUAUGGACUUCAUCACGGAUCUUCUAAUCUUAGGUUCUUAUGACUCUAUAUCCGUAAUGGUAGAUCGUUUUACCAAGAUGGCAUAUUUUGUACCAUGUAUAAAAUCUAUCACUAGUGAAGAAACAACUAAGCUCUUUUUUGACAAUAUCUAUCGCUAUCAUGGAUUAUCCAAGGAUAUUUUAUCAGAUAGGAGAACUCAAUUUGUAUCAAGAUUUUGGCGGACUCUUUUUAAGAUUCUUAAAGUAGAUAUAAAACUAUCUUUGAUAUUCCAUCUUCAAACUGAUGGACAAACAGAGCGUGUUAAUCAAGUUUUGGAGUAAUAUUUAAGAUGUACCAUUAAUUACCAACAAGAUGAUUGGACAACUCUUUUGCCAUUGGCAGAGUUUGCUUACAAUAAUACGGUACAUUUUUCUACAAAACAAACACCUUUCUUUGCUAAUUAUGGUUAUCAUCCUUGACUUGAUACUUUUGACUUUUCAAAAUUUGAUAAUCCUGCUGCGAAAGAUUUGGCAAAUCAUUUAUCAGAGCUACAUGCAACGAUGAAGGCGCAGUUAAAAGUGACUCAAGAACAACAAAAGUUCAAUGCGGAUGUCUAUCAAAAGGAACAACCAUCAUUCAUCUUGGGUGAUAAGGUAUGGCUACUUCAUUGCAAUAUCAAGACCACUCGUCCUUGUGACAAGUUGGACUAUUGAAGGCUGGGACCAUUUUCUAUUUCUGCACAAAUCAAUCCAGUUACAUAUCGUUUAUAUCUAUCGGAGUCAAUGAAAAUCCAUUCGAUAUUCUACGUGUCUCUUCUUGAACCAUACAAGACAUUCGACAUACCAAGAAGACGACAAGCUCCACCUCCUCCUAUAGAAGUGGACAAUAGUGAAGAAUUUGAAGUAGAAGAAGUCUUAGAUUCAAGGCAGCACCAAAAUAAAUUAGAAUAUCUUGUCCAUUGGCACGGAUAUGGUAUUAGUGAAUGCACAUGGGAGCCAAUAAAAAAUCUUGCAAAUGUAGCAAAGGCGAUGGAGGCUUUUCAUCGACGCCAUCCAUCAAAAUCAAGAUGAAAACCUUCUUUAUAAAAGAAACAACAUCUAGGCAAGAUAACAUUCACUUUCAAUUCUUAUUCGUAGCUUCUUUAUAGUAGUGAAACUCAGGAGAUGGAGAACCAACAAUCAGUGGAUUUGACUUAAGAGCCUUCAUUUGCUGACCUAUCGGAUGAGACAUUACGAUUGUCACAACCUUCAAGACAACGCAAUUGAGAUGAAGAUCUUCAAGAACGACAUCUUCUUCCUCGAAGAGAUGGCAAGAUACAACGCGUUUGGUAUCAUGAUUUGGGAAGGGACUCCUGAUGUUUGGUGAUUGUGCUAGAGAUAGGAACAACUCCUGAUGGUGUUCCAAAUAUUCUAUUUGAAGGAAGUUACGAAGGCCUCAACAAUGAUCAAAUAACUGGGUGGUCUUCCCGCUGUCGUAUGGCGUGAUUUUCUAUCUGGGAAUACACCGGGUAUCUAGCUGUAGAGAGUUUAGGUUUCUUUUUUAUAUAAUGCCUUAGCUCCCAAAAACAAACUCCUUGCUUUGUAUAAAAAUUCAAAAUAUCUUAAAAUUCUUCAAAAUAUAUUUCUUCCUGCCAAGGACCUUUUUACAUCAGACUUUAAAAAUUCAUAAAAGCUAAUCGAACCGUUCACUUUGUUUCAAAUUUCUACAUAAGCUAGAUGCUAUACUUACCUUUUACCUUAAAAAAAAUUGAAUCGUACAUCUAUCACCGAUCGUUCGGCAUCUAAGAAACCCUAGCAUGUGCACAAAACCCUAACUUACAUGCACCCGAAAACUAUUUUCCUUAUAUCUCUUAAACCCAAGCUCCAAAUCACACAAAACUUGUAUAGAAAGCUUUAUAACAAGAAUACACUCAAUCUUGAAAAUUUUGAGCUAAAACCUCAUCAAAUUGUCUAAGAUAUAGCUCAAAUCACAAGCACAAGUAAUUCGGGCUACUUACUACCCUUAGAUAUCAAGCGCUGACUUCAACUGCCAAUAUCUCCUUCAUAAAAGCUUGGAAUUCGAUAAACAGUAUGCACAAACUAUAGCCGAAAAAGUGUUCUCUUCAAAUCCGGUCGCGGAUCCUCGUUUGCUGUCCGUACGCGUGCGGUAUGCUCAAAAGAGUGACAGUACGUCGAAAACUUACACCUUAACUUUGAGCGCCUAUAACUUCUUCAUAUAAACCCCAAAUGACACAAGUUUUGCACCAAAACCAUAUCCAAAAACCUAAACCUUCUGACCCUAGCCUCAAAAACUCGAAUGGCGUCGAGAAACUAACCCUACUCCCUAAUAUGGCCUCGGGCAGCCUCCUCAAAGCCCAUUGGUCAUGAUUUUUGACCAAUAGGAAUGGAGAUUUUUAUUUUUCAUCUCCAUUCAUCCAUAUUGGUGCCCUAAUUAAUCCUUUUGCUACCAAAACCCCCUUCUUCAUCCCUUUUCUUAUAAGAUUUUUACAAUGAGUCUUUUUGACACCAAAUAAAAAAUCCAAAAGAAGUUUUCAAAGGUCACCAAUGUCUAACAAAGGUGAUUCUAAUUAUUUAGAAGUCACUAUGAACUAAACCAAUCUUAAAAGCCACUAUGAAAAAGAAAUUAAAGUUAUAAAAAUUCUAUAGUAACCUUUUUAAACAACCUCUUCUCAAAGUAAUAAUCAAAUUAUAUCCUACAACCAACUAAAAUCUACUAACAUGGCUCUUACCAUGUUACUUAAUAAAUUAUAUAUUAAGUACAUAAUUACAUUAUUUUCAUAUAGUAGCCGAACCACAACACGACACCGCUCUGGUAUGGGACACUACCGAUGGUUGAAAGGCCCUAUCAAUCAUCUUCGAAGAGAACAAAGAUCAGAGUAUGUGGCGAAUACAAUUCGUCGCAUUAUAGAUUUCCUCAACAUAUGAUGACCGCUCCUCGUGGAACUCGUCUCUAGAAGGGAGGGUAAUAUCAUAGACAUAAUCAUGUAAGCUAGUAAUUAUAUAUAUAAAUAGGUAAAAGUAAGUAAAAGUAGAUAAAAAUAAGUUAAUUCUAUAGUAUUUAAUAUGAAAGCUUCUUAGAAGCUUCAUAGACGCUGCUUUGACUUCAUAGGUGACUUUAAUUGACUUUUUGGAUUAGAAACGUGGUCAACAAGUUGGCCAUGUACUACACAUGUUGUUAGCUUGAAGAUCAACUAACUAUGUGGCCCAUACAUAGAAGAACUUUCCUUGUAAGUCAAGGCAUGUAUCCUACAAAGUCAACACAUAUUAGAGGUCCUAUAGAACAUCGCCAAAUAGCCCUUAGUUAGAUAGUAUAUAUAGAGACAAGAGUGAAAGCUUCUUCACUCUUGUCAACUCCUUUCUUGCUUCUAGUCUUGUUUCAAGGAUCUCUAGUUUUCUUGUCUUUUGGCAAUAGCCAUUCCAGUUUCUCUUUCAAUAUAUAUACUUGUUUAUAUAUAUUUUAUAACCUCUCUUUGAGUAAAGGCUCACUUGUCUGAAUUAUUUUUUCAUCGAAUUCUUGUCCUUGACAGGAAGGCCAAGAUGCGGUGAAUUAUAUUUGUUACAUACUCCGAUCUUUGCUCUCUUUAAAGAUAGUUGAUAGGUCCUCUUAACUAUCUAUAGGGUCCCAUACCAGAGCAAGAAGAUUCCCCUAGUCAUUGUGAUUUAGUCAUUUUUAAGGCCUUCAUAACUUUCUUCAAAUAAAAUAUUUGAAACAUUGUUAGGAGUAGUUCCUACCUCUAAUAAAAUCACUAAACAUUACAAUUCUCUUCCAAGGUCGUGAUACCAAACUUGUUGUACCUCGCCAUCUAUUUGAAAAAAAACAUGUCGUUUUUGACGAUCUUCAUCUCGAUUUUGUUGUCUUGAAGGUUGUGACAAUCGUAAUGUCUCGUCUAGUAAGUUCGCAAAUGAAAGCUCUUGAGUUGAAUCUGCUGGUUGUUGGUGCUCCAUCUCAUUACAAAUACACAAAAGCUACAAUGAAAGAUAGAAGGUAGAAUGUUAUUUUCUUUUGAUCUUAUUUCUUUUAUAAUAAAGAUUUGAUAUUCUUCAUCUUGGUUUUGAUGAAAGACUUUAACUAUCUUUGCUGUAUUUGCAAGAUUCUUUAAUUAUUUAUUUCUAAAACUUGAUGCACCUUCAUUUCACAUAUAUAAAUCCUUAAGAACUUAGUGAUAUUCCUUCUAUCAAACCUCUCAACUUUGUCCACUACUACUUGUAUGGCCUUAGUAUUGUUCUUAUCCUCUCCAUGUACCUAUUGCCUUUCUUCUAUAAAUUGAGCAAAUGUCCUAAAUAAAUCAUGGACACCCACUUCUCUUGAUAAUCCAAACCCUGGAUUUUGAUCUCCCAUUUCAACUUGUUGAAAAAAUUAGUGCCUUAAGGCUUUCUCAGUGGAAGCACCAAUAUGUCGGGGUAGAGAGAAUUUGCCUCAAGAAAAUGUUAGGCUUCUGGCUAUCACUAAUCAUUCAAUCAAGUUUAAAAAUAAGAAAAGCCUUAAGUUUAUAUAUAAAUUUUUUCUUUUGAGUAAUUACUCCAAAUACACAACCUUCAAGUAACCAAUAUCACCCAAAAUAUGAUAAAUCCUUUAAAACCUUGUAUAUCCUUAUGUGGAAAUUUUCUCGAACUUCAAUAGCUUAUAUCUCUUAAUCCGACUGUUCAAACAAACUCAAAUUUUACAUAAGAUACUGAUGUAUUCUUAUUAACUUUUACAACAAAUUUCAAUUGUAAAUUUAUUAUGGAUCUUGAGAUAACUCAAAAAUCCUAACAGUCACUUCAAAUCCUCAUCUUUAUACAUUCGCAUGCAAUUUUCUUUAUAUCUCACAAAAUAUAAGCUCAAAUGCCACAAAAUUUAUAUGUAUAGCUUCUAAACACAAAAUGUUACAUUUUCCAAAAAGUUUGAAUCAAAAAUUUGUUCAAAAACUCAAGUUAUGGCUCCAACUAUUACUAUAAACAAAACCGCUGACUUACUGCCUUUCAUUUGGAAGCGCUGCCUUCAACUCCUUAUAACUCCUUCAUAUGAACUCCAAAAGCAAUAAUUUUUUUGUGAAAAAAUUAGGCCUUACAAGUAAAUUUUUGUUUUAUUUGUAUCUUCUAAUCUUCAAAAGCUAUUGUACAACUCCUCGUAUCCUCAAAAGAAUAAUAGUAUGUCUUGAAUUAACACCUUAACUUCAAACGGUUGUAAUUUCUUCACCUUAACUCUAAAUAUUCUAAUUUUUACAUACAAAUUGUAUUCCAAAUCCUAAACUUUACAAUCCUAGCUUCUAAAUUCCAAAUGCCUUCUUUGAAGUCACCGAAAUCCUUGGUAAGGUCACGAUCAGCUUCCUCAAAGCCUAUUGGAUAUUGGGCAUGGUAUUCGACCAAUAGGAAUGAAGUUCUCCAUUCCUUGCCUUCAUCCAACCAUGCCUUACUUUCAUCCCUCUCAAUUAGCUUCUUACUAAUUUAGAUUUUUAUCCUUAGCCUUCCAUCUUCUCCCAAGGCUUCAUACUAAAUAUUUAGGUCCUAUAUAUUUUUUUUUAAUAUCAAAAGUAAAAUAAGUAAAGAAACAAAGUAAAUUUUCUUAUACCAACUCUUUUUAAUUUAAUCCACUAGCUAUUCUAACAUACAUCUAGAUUUAUUAACAUAUAAUAUGUUUUAAUAAAUUUUUACAUAUUGUAAGCAUUUAUAGUAUGACAACGAAAUUUAAGAUUGGUGUAAAAAUAAAUUCUUUCUUUAAAGCAUCAAAUGAUGCUUUUGCUUGUUUAUUCCACUUUAUUUUGUCUUUACAAGUCAAACAUGUAAGUAGAGCUGUAACUUGAAAAAUAUUCUUCAUGAAGAUUUGAUGGUAAUUAGCAAAGCCCAAAAAGCAUUCUACAUCUUUAACUGUUCUUGGAAUCCAUCAUAAGGCCUUCAUUGGAAAUGAUGUAUCCUAAGAAGUUAACAUAAAUAGUAUGGUAUACAUACUUUUCUAAUUUGGCAUAUAAUCUUACAUCUCUAAGUUUCUGUAACACGCGAAGAACAUGAAGUUCAUGUUCUUCUGUAUUCUUAGAGUAGAUUAGAAUGUCAUCUAAAUAGUAAAGAAUAAAAUCAUCUAAAAACUCACAAAAAACAUCAUUUAUAAGAUGUUGAAAAGUGGCCGGUGUAUUCAUGAGUCCAAAAGGCAUGACAUUAUAUUCAAAAUAUCCAUACCUAAUUCAAAUAGCAGUCUUCCAUUUAUCUCCUUCUUUGAUUUGAACUAAGUUGUAUGCUCCUCGUAGAUCUAUUUUGAUAAAGAUCUUUACUUGAUUGAGUUGGUCAAGAAGUCCUGAAAUCAAAGACAAAGGAUACCUAUUUUUGAUGGUGAUCUUGUUGAGUCCUCGAUAAUCCACACACAUUUGUAGAGAACCAUCUUUCUUCUAUACAAAUAAGAUAGGAGCCUCUACUGAAAAUUUAGAAUGGCAUAUGAAGUUCUUUGCCAAAUUCUCAUCAUUGUACUUCUUCAAUGCAGCCAACUCAUUCUGCAAUAAGCUAUAGAUUGGUCCGAAUGGUAGUUGAGCUCCUUCUUACAAAUCAAUUGAAUAAUCAUAAGGUCAAUGCUCGGGAAGAAUACUUGCAUUUUUCUUUUCAAAAAUAUCUUGGAAUUCUUGAUAUUGCUUAGGAAUACCACUCGACAUUGUUUCAACAUUAGAAAUACAUGUAGCAUAUAUAGCAAAAGAUGAUCCUUCUUUUGCAGCAUGUAUGAAAGCUUUUGCACCUACAAGUAAAGGUUUGGACGUAAUGGAAUUACAUAUUUCUACUUUGCUAAUGCGACCUUAGAUUAUGCUAUCAGAAAAGUUAAGGUUACGAGAAAUCCAAUCUAUUUGAGGGUUAUAUUUUUCUAACCAUGAUAAUCCUAAAAUAACCAGAUUAGAGGGAGAUUUUAUUAUAUUAAAUACUACUACACUGUUAUGAUCUUUAAUUGCUAUAUCUAAAGGAAUAGUUUCAUGGAUAAUAUUUCCAAAAGAUAAGGAAUGACCAUCUAUGACUUCUACAUGUAUGGAUUUAACUUUCUUUAAUAAAGUUAUUUUUUUAUUUUUGGCAAAAUCUUUAUCUAUAAAACAUGCUGAGGCUCUUGAAUCUAACAAAGCAAAGACUUUGUGAUUAUUAGGUCUUAAAUAUACUUCUAUUAUAAAACAAGGUGAGGGAUCUGAGGAAAGAAUAGGACCUUUACUAGAUAUUGCACAUGAUUCUAGCCGCAAGGCCCCUAUUAUAGCUGGAGAAACUCGUUUUCCAAUACAUUAUCUUCUUUGGUAAUUGUGCUCCUCAUUUUAUAAUUGUGUUGUUUCUUUGGACAAUAUUGAAUAGUAAGCUUAGCUUCUCCACAAUAUAAAUACAAUCCCUCUUGGCAAGGUUGAGUCUUUUCCUGCUUCAUGAGAGGUUUAAAAUAUAUCAUAUCAAUUUGCAUUGGUUCCAACUUUGACGAAUAUGUUUCAAAAAACUUGGGAGCUGCCACCAUUACUUGACUUAUUCCUCUCCAACUAAAUCUUUAUUCUUGAUGCCUUUCAAAUAAACGAUUGUCACAUGCAAUGGCUUGAGUAAUAAAUUAUUCCAAAGAUUCUACUUUUGGCAUUGUUAAUAACAAAUCUUUGACGCUAUCCUUCAAUCCAUAUCAAAAUUGGAUGAUAAGUGCUUUGUCAUUCCAGUCCACAUCGCAAGCAAGAUUUUGGAAUUUGGUAGCAUAUGUAGUAGCUAAUCAUGAUCCUUGUCAUAAGCAUAGAAGCUUGGUCUCUGUUAUUCAUUUUCGAUCACUUUCUCUGAAUGUGGCCAUAAAUACUUCUAGAAAUAAAUUCAAAUCAUAAAGGAGUCGUGAAUCUUUUUCCAUUAAAGGUACAAACCAAGAGAGAGUACUUUUUGAUAGUAGUGCGCCUAUAAAUCCGACUUGGAUAAAUCCAUCAGGAUAUUGGAAAGUGUGCAACCUUAGAUAGAGCUUGACUUGUUAUAAAAACUCCUCAAAAUUUUGAUCUUAUUCCAUCAAAAUUCUCAAGCAUAAUAAUCUUUGUCCCUAUCAUACUUGUAGAUACAAAACUCCCUGAAUUUGGUUGUGACGUUGAUCUACUUGCUACUUUCAACUAUGCAAACUUCUUAUCGUAGACUCUAAACUUCUUCCAUAGGUGUAGGCAUAGUACUUCCAUGAUUCACGUUAAAAAUAUGUGAGAUUUCCACUCUUAGAGUAUUGACAAGCUCAUGAAGAUCUGCUAUAGUUGCAAAUCUAUUCUCACUUCUAUUGAAAGUAGCAUCCAUAAACUUUCCUUCUAUAUACAAGUCAAACAUUUUAAAAGUUAAAUUAGAAGAGGAUUAUCCACAACUUCUAAAAAUAAAUCCUACAAAGAGAGGUAAUCCACUCUUUUUGAGGAAAAGAUUAGUAUUAGAAAACAAGAUUUUUUGUUUAAAGGUGGAUAGUCUGCAACUUUUAAAAUACAAUAAUAGAAGUGUAGUAAUCCACUCACUUCUAGAACAAGACAAAAAUAAUAUGUUAGCACUUUUGUCAAACUGUCAAGGACAUGAAUCUCAAUACACUCUUCUAUCACUGAAGAAAACUAGAAAGUCACUCAAAAGGUGAUGUAAUAUUAACUAGAAUGGCUAUUACUAAAAACAAGAAGACUAGAAAGUCUUGAAACUGUUAGGGACAUAUUCCUUAGAACUUUCUAGAGAGAAGUUUCUAGAACCUUCUAGAAAAUAAGCCUCUGGAACCUUCUAGAAGAGAAGCCUCUGGAACCUUUUAGAGAGAAGUUUCUAGAAGCUUCUAGAAAGGAAGUCUCUGGAACCUUUUAGAAGAGAAGUUUCUAGAAGCUUCUAGAAAAGAAUCCCCUGAAACUUUCUAGAAGCUUCCUAGUUAAUAGAAGUAGCUCGAGAAGUUUCUAGAACCUUCUAGAAAGGAAGCCUCUGGAACCUUCUAGAAGUAGCUCGAGAAGCUUCCUAAGUAGGAGUAUAUAUAGGGAUCGAGGCUGAACAGUUCUUCAGUCUCGACAACACAUCUCUUGGAGUUCUAGCUCACCUUUCUAGUGUUGUUCUUGUACUCAUCUGUUUAAUCUAGUUCUGCCACUUCUUCUUGAACUUCUUGUUAGAUUUCAAGUCUGUAUUUUGUGUCCGUGACAGUUUGUCGAGACUACACUAACUUGAGAUAUCAGAGCUAGUUCUUCCUUAGUAGAGUGUGGAUUAUCCCUUUACUUGAAGGUAUACUAGCAUGUUUUAGAGGUUGCGGAUUACCCUCCUCUAAACUGAUACUUCUUGUGUUACAAUAUUGGAGUCUUAUUCUUCUUGGAGAGAGUGGAUUACCCCUCUUCUUUAAAUUCUUAAGGCGUUUUAUAGGUUGUGGAUUACCCUCCUAUAAACCAAUAUUGUCUCUUAUAGGAUCAUUUUUGUCCUUCUUUUAGAAUGGCCGGAGGUCAAGACAUUAGUAUGACAAAAAGUUCGGAGUCUAAGUUAGAUGCUAUUAUGAAUGCCCUCGCUACGUUAUCACAAAGAACUGCAGAGAUUGAAGGAGUGGUGGCAAGGCUUCAUAAUGAUGGAGUAUGUGGGAUAGCACAAUCUAAACUACACCAGCCUCAAAUUUUGGCACUUGGAGAAACAACUUUACCUCAAGUUCGACAAGAACCACUAGUUCUACAACAUAAGGAGCCUUGAGUUAGCCUUCCAGAUAAGUUUGAUGGAACACGUUCCAAGUUUCGAGGAUUUGUCAAUCAAAUCAGGUUGAUAAUAGUUUUACAGUCCGAACGAUAUCCAACGGAGGAGUCACGUGUUGGGCUUGUUGGAACCUUACUUACGGGACAAGCUCUAUCAUGGUUUGCUCCUUUGUUUGAAAAAGAUCAUCCAUAUUAAACAACUUUGAAACCUUUUUGGAAACAUUUGCGGAAGCAUUUGCGGAAGCAUUUCGUGAACACGAUAAGGUUCGAUGGGCUACAACAAAGAUCCGGUCGCUACGACAAGGGAUGCGUUCUACAUCAGUCUAUGCUUCGGAUUUCAGGCAAUUAGUAUGCGACAUCAAUUGGGAUGAAGAAGCGUUGAUGAGUCAAUUCUAUUGGGAUUUAAGAGAUGAUGUGAAGGAUUUGCUGUUAACUCUUCCUGAUCCACGAACGCUCAAUGAAGCCAUUAGCCAAGCUGUGAAGUGCGAUAAUCGCCUAUUCCAACGUCGCCAAGACCAACGCUCAAGACAACAUACAAUUCGCCAUGCUCCAACUAUGUCGGCAAGCGGUGUGAAUUCGCAUUCAGAGGUGGAAGACAUGCAAAUUGAUGUGGUACGUAUCAAAUCUCUUACUAUAGAAGAAAAAAAACGACGUAUGGAGGAAAAUUUAUGCUUGUAUUGUGGUGGAGAAGGCCACAAAGUCGGAAACUGCCCCAAAAAGUAAAAUCGAGGCAUAGUCAAGACUAAGGGAGUAUUUAUUCAGAAAAACGAGGAUGCCCAGCCACAGUAGGAACCGUGCGGCUGGACAAUGAAAUAUCCCAACAACAAUCAGGUUCCUUUCUUUCUGCCCAACCUGCACUUUGUUUUACAAUUCCUCUAUUUAUCAGCCCUCAAAAACUGAGAACCUUAGCACUACUAGACUCAAGAGCAUCUGCUUGUUUUUUAGACGAAGAAUUUGCAAAGCGUCAUAAGAUCCCUUUAGUACAAAAAUCAAAACCUGUUCAUGUUGAGGUCAUAGAUGGGUGACCUUUAUUGUCUAGUAGCAUCACCUAUGAAUCAAAACCUAUAGAAGUAACGUUUAAAGACCAUAGUAGUCAUAUUAUUUUUAAUAUUAUUAGAACCCCAUCAAAUCCUAUUAUUCUUGGUCUUUCUUGGUUGGAAAAACAUAAUCCAUUGAUAGAUUGGAGGUUGCGGAAAAUGACUUUUCCCACAAAACCACCCAAGAAAAAACCUAGUAAAAAACCUCGAAAAAAGAAAUCCUUAUUCAUUGGAGCAAGAGCGUUUAUAAGAUCAUCUAAGGAAGGCACUCCAUUUGUCAUUUAUGCGGCUCCAACUACCGAGGAGAAGAACUCAACAGCAAGUAUACCGGAGCAAUAUAAAGAUUUUGAAGACGUGUUUCAAAAGAAGAACGCCGACAUACUACCAGAAUACCGACCAUAUGAUUGUGCCAUAGACUUGCAAGAAGGAGCACAACCACCUUUUGGCCCAAUCUACAAUCUAUCGCAAAUGGAGUUGGCAGAGUUACGAAAGUACAUCGAUGAGAAUCUAGCCAAGAACUUCAUUCGUCAUUCAAAAUCAUCAGCUGGAGCACCCAUCUUAUUUGUGAAGAAGAAAGAUGGAUCAUUACGGAUGUGUGUGGACUAUCGAGGCCUCAACAAGGUAACAAAGAAAAAUCGUUACCCAUUACCCUUGAUUUCUAGUCUCUUAGAACAACUUGGACGUGCGAAGAUCUUUACAAAAAUUGAUCUAAGGGGAGCUUAUAAUCUCGUAUGAAUCAAGGAAGGAGAUGAGUGGAAGACAGCAUUCCAUACAAGGUAUGGUCAUUUCGAAUAUAAUGUCAUGCCUUUUGGUCUUACCAAUGCUCCAGCGGUUUUCCAACAUAUGAUGAAUGACAUCUUUCGAGAACACCUCGACGAUUUUGUUGUCAUCUACUUCGACGAUAUUCUAAUAUUCUCUAAAAACGAGGAAGAGCAUGAGGAGCAUGUUCGUUUGGUCUUGGAGAAACUACGCAAGCGAGGACUAUAUGCCAAAUUAGAAAAGUGUUUAUUUCACCAGACGGAGAUGGAAUUUUUGGGGUUCAUUGCGACUACAGAAGGUUUGAAGAUGGACCCCAAGAAAGUAGAAGCAAUCAUGUCUUGGGAGGUUCCGAAGACGGUUAGAGACGUACAAUGCUUUCUUGGUUUUGCUAACUUCUAUCGGAUCUUCAUCAAGAAUUAUUCUCAAGUUGCUGCUCCUCUCACUUGAUUAACAUGCAAGGAUAAGUUGGAAUGGGGACCUUUGGCGGAGAAGGCAUUUCAAGAUUUGAAGACAGCAUUUACUACAGCUCCAAUUUUGGUAUAUCCAGACUUUACAAAGGCCUUCUAUUUAGAAACUGAUGCUUCAGAUUUUGCUUUGGGAGCUGUGCUUUCACAAAUGAGUAAAGAUAAGAAGCUCCAUCCAGUUGCAUUCUAUUCUCGGAAGUUCUCUGCUGCUGAAAUCAAUUAUGUGAUCCACGAUAAGGAACUUCUUGCUAUAGUGGAUUCUUUCGAAGAAUGGCGUCACUUUCUUGAAGGAGCUGCACAUCCAGUAACCGUAUAUACGGAUCACAAGAAUUUGGAGUAUUUCAUGACGGCUCGAGUUUUAAAUCGGCGUCAAGCUUGGUGGAAUAUGUCGCUAUCUAGAUUCGAUUUUGUUAUCACUUAUUGACUUGGAAGGCAGCAAGGACUAUCCGAUGCUUUAUCAAGGAGAUCGUAUCUUGCACCAAAGGCUGGAGAAGCAACGUUUGAUCAACAAUGUACAACGUUAUUGAAGCUAGAGAGAUUUCAACUUUGUGCUACUAUUGUAUCAUUUGAUGCUGACUUCCUAAACCAGAUACGUGCUAUGACCAUUAAAGAUUCAGUAGCCAUUGAUAUCAAGCAACGUACCAAUGACGACAAGUUCAAGGUGGAGGGAGAUCUUUUAUACUUUGAAGAGCGAUUGUACAUUCCAAAAGGACUAGCACGACUCCGAGUUCUUCAAUCUCGCCAUGAUUUUCCAGCUACGGGACAUUUUGGAUUCAACAAGACCUUGGAGCUUAUUUCCCGAGAUUUUUGGUGGCCCCAAAUGUGGAAGGAUGUGAAAGAUUUUGUCCUCUCUUGUGACAUCUGUUCAAGAUCUAAGAAUCCUCGGCAUCGCCCUUAUGGACUUCUAUAGCCAUUGCCAAUUCCAUGUCGACCAUGGUCUUCAAUUUCUAUGGACUUCAUCACGGACUUGUCAUCGUCAAACUCAUUUGACAGCAUCUUUGUCGUGGUAGAUCGGCUUACGAAGAUGGCACACUUUGUUCCUUGUAAGAAGACAUCGUCCAGUGAAGUCACAGCAAGACUCUUUCUCGAUAAUGUGUAUCGAUAUCAUGGACUACCAGAUGAUAUCAUAUCAGAUCGAGGUACCCAGUUCAUGUCAAAGUUUUGGAGAUCUCUCUUUGGGAUAUUGAAGGUGGAUAUCAAGCUUUCUUCAGCUUUCCAUCCUCAAACUGAUGGCCAAACGGAAUGGGUGAACCAAGUCUUGGAGCAGUACUUACGAUGCAGCAUCAACUAUCAGCAAGACGAUUGGACUGCAUAUCUACCGCUAGCCGAGUUUACAUAUAACAACACCCUCCAUGCGUCGACUCAACAAACACCAUUCUUUUCCAACUAUGGGUAUCAUCCGAAGCUUGAUUUAUUGAGUCCGUCAACAAAUAACAAUCUAGCAGCUGAAGGAUUUGCGAAGCAACUAUCAGAGCUUCAAACUAUAUUGAAGCUUCAAUUACAAUCCGCUCAAGAAUCCUAUAAGACGUCUGCAGAUAGAUUUCAGAAUCUAGCACCUACUUUCAAAGUUGGAGACAAAGCCUGGCUUCUUCGACGAAAUAUCAAGACCAAGCGACCAUGUGAUAAGUUGGACUAUCGAAGAUUGGGACCAUUUAUCAUCCAGAAGCAAAUUAAUCUAGUGGCAUACCGGCUGGAGUUACCAGCUUCUAUGAAGGUACAUCCAGUCUUUCAUGUUUCUCUGUUGGAACCUUAUCGAGAGUCAUCUUUUCCUGGAAGAGUGCAAUGUCCGCCACCUAGUAUUGAAAUCGAGAACCACGAAGAAUACGAGGUUGAAAAGGUAUUAGAUUCACGGCGAAGGUGGGGAAAGUUAGAAUAUCUUGUUCAUUGGUGCGGCUAUGACAUUAAUGAGCGAACGUGGGAGCCAGCUGAAAAUCAUACGAAUGCACCACAAAAGGUACAGGAGUUUCAUCAACGACAUCCCGAUAAAUCUAAAUCAAUUUGAUGAUAGCUUCUUUCUGAAGCUUGUUCUCCCAACAAUAUAAGAAAAGGGGAGAGCACCAACAAAAUUCAUAGUUGAUGUAGUUAUUUUCUCCAAGAUAGAUCGUAGUUUGGUCUUUUGAUAUGGAUAGCCAAGAGAUAGAUACUAUGCCAGUCCGAGUAUCGCAACCGAGUAGCUCACGAAGGCGACCCCGAGAUGAAGAACUACAUGUACCACGACGACGACGGAGGAUACCGAGUAACCGAUCACUAGUGAUCGUAUUUGAGAUCGAGCCUGCUUACGAUCGUCAACCAGAAGGCGUAUUUGUAGGAUAAUUUCACAAUGAGGACACGGAAGUUCAUGCUUGGUCACAAGUCGAAGGCAUGGGCCACUACCAUUGGCUUCAAGGGUCGAUGAACCACUUGCCUCGUGAACAACAGUUGGAGUUCAUAGCAGAAGUUAUGCGACAGAUCUUCAUUUUCUUGCGUUGGUACUGAUCAACAACAUUGCUUCUCAGAGACCUCAAAGCUAAAAGAGGGGGUGAUGUUAGGGACAUAUUCCUUAGAACUUUCUAGAGAGAAGUUUCUAGAACCUUCUAGAAAACAAGCCUCUGGAACCUUCUAGAAGAGAAGCCUUUGGAACCUUUUAGAGAGAAGUUUCUAGAAGCUUAUAGAAAAGAAGUCUCUGGAACCUUCUAGAAGAGAAGUUUCUAGAAGCUUCUAGAAAAGAAUCCCCUGGAACUUUCUAGAAGCUUCCUAGUUAAUAGAAGUAGCUCGAGAAGUUUCUAGAACCUUCUAGAAAGGAAGCCUCUCGAACCUUCUAGAAGCUUCCUAGUUAAUAGAAGUAGUUCGAGAAGCUUCCUAAGUAGGAGUAUAUAUAAGGAUCGAGGCUGAAGAGUUCUUCAGUCUCGACAACACAUCUCUUGGAGUUCUAGCUCAGCUUUCUGGUGUUGUUCUUGUACUCAUCUGUUUAAUCUAGUUCUGCCACUUCUUCUUGAACUUCUUGUUAGAUUUCAAGUCUGUAUUUUGUGUCCGUGACAGAAACAAGACUAAGAUUAGAAAGGCAUUGACAAGAGUGGAGAAGGCUUCACUCUUGCCUCGAUAUAUACUAUGUAACUAAGAGCCACGUGGCGAUGUCCUAUAGGACCUCCAACAUGUGUUGACUUUGCUAGCUACAUGUCUUAUCUUGCAAGACAAGUUAUCUAUGUAUGCGCCACGUAGUUGGCUUGUUCCACAAGCUACUAUACGGAGGUAACUUAUUCCACAAGCUACUACACGGAGGUAACUUGUUUCAUAAGCUACCAAUACAUGGUUAGCUUUUUGGCCAAGUUUUCAACCGAUAAACACAUCUAAAGUCAAAACCACAUCUAUGAAGCUUCUAAGAAGCUUUUCUAGAAGACUUUAUGAAAUUAUUCUAUUUUACCUACUUCUACUUAAUCAUGUAAGUAACUAUUGAGGUAAAUAUAUAUGUCUGUCAUACAUACAAGCAAAAUUGAUGUAUGGGCAAAAGCCGAUAAUACCAAUAGAAGAGGUUGUACCAACAUGAAAUGUAUUAUCUUAAAAAAAUGGUUUAAAAAGUAUAGAAUUAUUAGCAUUACAAAUUUGACAACUUGAAAGAAGACUCGAGGAUAUUGAGGUUGAUAUAAAGAAAUUAAAAGAGGUAAGGAAGAAAAAUAAAGAAAGGUUUGACAAAAAGCAUCGAUUGCAUCAAUCACUAAUUUAAAAUGAUGAUUGGCUGUUGAUUUAAGAUAAUAGUCUAGACAACCAACAUUGCUUAGUAAAAAAAAUUAUAAGGAGAUGGUUUGGGCCUUAUAUUGUCAAACAAUUAUAUGACAAUGGAACAUACUUGUUACGAGAACUUGAUGGUACAAAAUUAAAGAUAUCCAUAACAUGGUAGAGAAUCAAAUUAUUCAAGUAAAGAAAUAAAAAUAUUAGCUUUGAUGAAGAAUAAAAUCCAUUACAAGACAUUGAGAUGGAAAAAAUAGAGCAAAUUGAAGAUCAAGAAUCUGACCAAGAUAAAGAACACUCUAUAUCAAUAUAUUAAAGAAUCAAUGACACAUGCCAGAGGAUGCACAGGUUCAAGAGAGGUGGAUGUUGUGAUAUAAUAUAACUAAUAGGUGAAAAGAAUGAAGAAUCUAUUAUAUCAUAGAAGAUCUUACUUCAAAUAUUUUAGCAAAUUAUCUAAACAAAUAGACAAUAGUCCAAAAUAAAGUAGAAUUAAAAAAUUUAAUUCUAUAUUUUUACAAAGUAGGCUUCUACUUACUUAGUAAGGCCAUAAAUAAGACAAAACAAGGUAGAUUAGAAAAAUAAAGAAUAUGAAUAUAUGAAGGAAGAAAUUAAGAAUUGAUUGGAAUAAAAAUUCACUCUAAAGGACAAAAUUUGAUAUCCAAAGAAGACUAGUUAUUAACCUAGAUCAAAAUCAGACCCUAAAAUACAAAACUAAGUAUCUAGAGUAAUUUAAGGAUUUUUUUGCAAAUUGGAGAGUGGGAUUUGAGAGUAGACUUGAUAAGGUUUUUUUUUAGCAUUGAAUUUGAUAGAAUUAAAUGUAUAAUGACUUUGCUAGAGCUUUUUAAAAUCAUAGUUGUUUUAAAUGACUUUGAAAUUUGUAAAAUAAAAAAGAUAUUAUGUAUUGGAGAAUUUUGUAAGCUCAAUAGUAGAUCUAAUGUUCAAAUUUUGGUGACUUAUAAGAAUAGUUAUUUGAAGAAUAUGCUAUAAGUUUGAACUUGGUUAAACAUUUGAAUUGAAGGCUAUUGAAUUUCAAGUAGAUUGAAGUCUUAAAAUCAGACUUUGAAAGGCAAUUAGGGCUUUUAAGAUCCUUAGCAAUCUACUAAUUGGAUUGGAAUGAAAUUUGUAUUUAAAAAUAAUAGACUUGAUUUUUUACACACAUGUAAAAUUUGAGAACAAUUAAAUGGUUUAAUAUGAAGAUAUUGGUACUGAAAGUUUAAUAUUUAGAUUGAAGUAGGUAGUUAGCCAAUACCUGAGCAGAUUUAGAAUUUUUUCUUCUAUUUGAUAAGUGUGAUUAUCUUCAAAAAAAAUUUGCUUGUUGUUAAUUCAAUUGUUAAAAGGUAUGUAAAUUUUUAAGCUAAAUCAACAAUUCAAUUGAUAGAUAUUGAGGUUCUAAACUAUGCUAGGGUUGAAUUGAGCAGAAUUAGAAUUUGAUUUAAGAUUUGAUUUAUGAUUUAGGAUUUAUCUAAGAUUUAAUUUAAGAUUUAGGAUUUGUGUAGGGUUUGAUUUAAGAUUUGUUUUAGGAUUCAAGGUUUAUUUAGAGUUUGAUUUAGGAUUUAGAAUUUGUUUCGGAUUUGAUUUAGGGUUUGAUUUAGGAUUUAAGAUUUAUCUUAGUUUUGAUUUAGGAUUUGAUUUAGGAUCUAGGGUUUGAUCUAGGAUUUGAUUUAGGAUUUAGGAUUUAAGAUUUAUUUAAGAUUUGAUUUAGGAUUUGAUUUAGGAUUUAGGAUUUUUCUAGUGUAUGAUUGAAGUCUAUUAGAAUUUCA